rnacentral:lncRNA from 1 species
GUUAGAAGCCUUGCAGUGAACUAGCCUCUAGCUGGAGCCAGAGAUUUGUGUAUUCCUCUGUGGUCCUGAAGCAGUCUAACAAGUCAAGGCUUCAACAAGCUGGCCACGGGAGCAGAGGAAGAUAGAGACAGCCCUGGCACGAAGGGGACUUGAAUGUCUGAAGUCCCUUUUGAUUUCCACCCUGCCACCCCACCGCAGCCUUCCGAAUUGUUGGCAGGAUGAACUUGGGGCAGGAUAUAGCCCAGAUGCUGGCAGCUGUGAGUUGACUGCAGCCAUACAGAUGAGUCUUACAGAUAUGACAGGACACGUCCUUGGUAGUGGUGCUGGCAGCGAACCCGUGGGCAGUAUGCCACAGCUCAGUUACCCCAUUGCACCACCCUGCCUGCUUUCAGGUUAAAGCUGUGGGGUUCAGCCGCUCUCCCAGCCCCUGAGCACAAGUCUGAGGAGAGAGAAUGGGUGUUACCCAUAAAUCCCCUUAAAAUCACACUCCAAAACAGAGGAAACAGAUGGGAGGAGGCACCUUUUUGAGACUAAUCUAGGCAGAGACUAUAAGAGGAAAAGCCAAAUCCAAGUUAUUGUCAAAAUAAACCAAUAAUAGAUGUUUGUAAUUUCUGAGAUUUAUGGCCAUGAGAAGCUGUUGCACACUUUUGAUGGCCUCUUCCUUGCACGCUGUGCUUCCUCGCCUGUCUCAGAGCUCUGUGAAGGCAGGGGAGGAAUUAAACUGUGUCCUCCCUGGCAGACAGGCAGGAGGCUGAAGCAUCCUGGAGAUUCCCUGGGGAAAGAAUGCUGGACCCGCAGCAGCACAGGCCUUCUUUCAGGAGCUGGACCAACACGAGAGGCUUGCUGCGAGCUGGGGUGGACGGUGGAGGCAGAAGAGCUGUGGGAUCCCAAGGAAGAGCUGCGGCUUCUGGAGGCAACAACCAGCCCUAGGAGUCAGCUCUUACUCACGCCGCCUCCGUGGAAAAUAUAAGAACGGGGUUGGUAAUCUGGCUGUGACUAAGGAGGGGAACAUCCCCGCUGCUGUCGGUGUGGCCAGGAUUUCCCUCCACCAGCUCUGCGAUGCUGAGGAUACCGGCCCACCAGCAGCUGUGUCUGGCCUGGGAAGAUGAUCUUGGUGCUUCUGUGACCCCACAAGAUCCCAGGGGAUGGGCUGGAGGGGCUGCAGCGAUCCCACCAUGCAGGGCACCAGCACAGGGCUCUCUUGACAGGACCUCACCAGGACCCAUUCCUCUGCAGCAUCGCUCUGCAAGUAUCCUGCAGGUCUGUCCCGAAUCCUGCUCAUUAGAAAGAAAUCCACCCCCAGGAGCUGCGAAAGCCCCAGCAAUGUUGUGAAAGAUACCAGGGGCACUUGGGGCCAGCUGCACGGCCCUCACGGAGCAGGGAAAUGUUCCUGCCGGUGCCGGUCGCUGAGUCUUCACAUUCCAGCCCCGUGCUCGGAGGAACAAAACCUCUUAGCUCUGCACUUACUGGAGACAAGCUCGAAGUCGUCUGGAGUCAGGCGUUGUAAAAAUUUAAUGAUGCGGGACAAAUCGGGGUGACCAAAAUAGCCAUCGGGACAGAGACUGCCUUGUGAUGUAGCGCACCCAGCCAGGUCUCGG